AUUGAACGCUGGCGGCAGGCCUAACACAUGCAAGUCGAACGGUAACAGGAAGCAGCUUGCUGCUUCGCUGACGAGUGGCGGACGGGUGAGUAAUGUCUGGGAAGCUGCCUGAUGGAGGGGGAUAACUACUGGAAACGGUAGCUAAUACCGCAUAAUGUCGCAAGACCAAAGAGGGGGACCUUCGGGCCUCUUGCCAUCGGAUGUGCCCAGAUGGGAUUAGCUUGUUGGUGGGGUAACGGCUCACCAAGGCGACGAUCCCUAGCUGGUCUGAGGGGAUGACCAGCCACACUGGAACUGAGACACGGUCCAGACUCCUACGGGAGGCAGCAGUGGGGAAUAUUGCACAAUGGGCGCAAGCCUGAUGCAGCCAUGCCGCGUGUAUGAAGAAGGCCUUCGGGUUGUAAAGUACUUUCAGCGGGGAGGAAGGGAGUAAAGUUAAUACCUUUGCUCAUUGACGUUACCCGCAGAAGAAGCACCGGCUAACUCCGUGCCAGCAGCCGCGGUAAUACGGAGGGUGCAAGCGUUAAUCGGAAUUACUGGGCGUAAAGCGCACGCAGGCGGUUUGUUAAGUCAGAUGUGAAAUCCCCGGGCUCAACCUGGGAACUGCAUCUGAUACUGGCAAGCUUGAGUCUCGUAGAGGGGGGUAGAAUUCCAGGUGUAGCGGUGAAAUGCGUAGAGAUCUGGAGGAAUACCGGUGGCGAAGGCGGCCCCCUGGACGAAGACUGACGCUCAGGUGCGAAAGCGUGGGGAGCAAACAGGAUUAGAUACCCUGGUAGUCCACGCCGUAAACGAUGUCGACUUGGAGGUUGUGCCCUUGAGGCGUGGCUUCCGGAGCUAACGCGUUAAGUCGACCGCCUGGGGAGUACGGCCGCAAGGUUAAAACUCAAAUGAAUUGACGGGGGCCCGCACAAGCGGUGGAGCAUGUGGUUCAAUUCGAUGCAACGCGAAGAACCUUACCUGGUCUUGACAUCCACGGAAGUUUUCAGAGAUGAGAAUGUGCCUUCGGGAACCGUGAGACAGGUGCUGCAUGGCUGUCGUCAGCUCGUGUUGUGAAAUGUUGGGUUAAGUCCCGCAACGAGCGCAACCCUUAUCCUUUGUUGCCAGCGGUCCGGCCGGGAACUCAAAGGAGACUGCCAGUGAUAAACUGGAGGAAGGUGGGGAUGACGUCAAGUCAUCAUGGCCCUUACGACCAGGGCUACACACGUGCUACAAUGGCGCAUACAAAGAGAAGCGACCUCGCGAGAGCAAGCGGACCUCAUAAAGUGCGUCGUAGUCCGGAUUGGAGUCUGCAACUCGACUCCAUGAAGUCGGAAUCGCUAGUAAUCGUGGAUCAGAAUGCCACGGUGAAUACGUUCCCGGGCCU
rnacentral:rRNA from 1 species